rnacentral:rRNA from 1 species
UACGGGGGGGGCAAGCGUUGUUCGGAAUUACUGGGCGUAAAGGGCUCGUAGGCGGCCAACUAAGUCAGACGUGAAAUCCCUCGGCUUAACCGGGGAACUGCAUCUGAUACUGGAUGGCUUGAGUUCGGGAGAGGGAUGCGGAAUUCCAGGUGUAGCGGUGAAAUGCGUAGAUAUCUGGAGGAACACCGGUGGCGAAGGCGGCAUCCUGGACCGGUAUUGACGCUGAGGCGCGAAAGCUAGGGGAGCAAACGGG